rnacentral:rRNA from 1 species
ACGUAGGGAGCAAGCGUUGUCCGGAAUCAUUGGGCGUAAAGCGCGCGUAGGUGGCCUCAUAAGUCCGCUGUGAAAGUCAAAGGCUCAACCUUUGAAAGCCGGUGGAUACUGUGAGGCUAGAGUACGGAAGAGGCGAGUGGAAUUCCUGGUGUAGCGGUGGAAUGCGCAGAUAUCAGGAGGAACACCAAUAGCGAAGGCAGCUCGCUGGGACGUUACUGACACUGAGGCGCGAAAGCGUGGGGAGCGAACAGGA